GCAAAGUACUAUGAAGGCACCACUGAUCUCGGCAAGAGGCGCAACAUUCAGAAAAAUUCACAAUUCAGGGCAAUCAUAUGUACAUACAGUCGAAUGAUGGCCAGCCACACAGGAGGGUGAUUAUCACUAAGGAGGAGAAGGAGGCUUUGCUGACCGAGAUGCAUGCUGGCCAUUUCGGAGUGAAGCACGUGAUUGCCAAAAUCAACCUAUGCUUCUUCUGAUGGGGAAUUGUCAAGGAGGUGGACAGCUGGGAAAGUGAAAUAACCUUUUGGUUAUCAAUCACAUUCUAUUAUAUCUGAAAUGAUUAUGAUUUCAAUGAAUGUCAUAUCAGAGAGCACACAAUGUUUCAAUUUGUCACUUUGUGCUUAAAGGUCAGUACCCUGUCUAGCCUGCCAGAAGUUUGAGAGGGUGAAGACUGUGGUGCCGGAGUUGAAGCCCAUCAAAGUUGUUUCACCAUGGCGUAUGAUCGGUAAGUGUCCCAAUUCAAAUUUUGCCCUGAUAAGUUGUUUUGUAAUGGUUGCUUUAUUUUACCACAGCAGAGUCAGUAUUAUAGAAUGUGUGUGUGUGCCUCAGUACCCUUACAAAUAUGAAAAACUGCAUAAUGUAUGACACAGAUACGGGUAAGAAUAAAGUAAUCUUCUCUCUAACACUUUAAAUGUUUGGGGUGGACCUCAUCGGACCCUUCGCGAAAUCCAGGAAUUGGCAACAGCUGGUGUCUGACGGCGACCAAUCACUUUACCAAGAGGGUGGAGGCAAUAGCCAUUACGGUCAGUAAAUGAGGAGUACAUGCUUAACUAAAUUCCCUUCUGUAACCGAUUAAAAAGGGUGCUUGGAACCAAAAAUGGAUUGUAGUUUUGUGUGAUACCCAUCAAGGACAAGACUGGCGAGGCCACCUCCAAGGCGAUGAUGGACAUCUUCAACCCAAGGUUCACCCAUGAUUGACUUAGUGUUGUUGUUUAUCUAUUGCUAUUUUUGUACAACGUACUUUCAGAUCACUGAAACCCCAUCUGAUGUGGUGGAAGUUGUCGAACCAGAUCAGAAGGCCUUCAAGAACCACCUCCAGGCACGGACUGAGGCUGUGGAGGUUUUUGACCAGGUGAGACUGAACAUGGCCCAUCGCCUGUCCGAGCUCCCCAGGAGGUAUCCCAUCCACCAGAGCCAGUUGAGUUCGGAUCAGUCUGAUUCUCUGUGCUCUGAGUCAGAGGGGGACCAGCUUGAGGACCUAGGGGUUCUGCCCAACACCCAGACGUGGAUCCACCUGAUGUUCUACAUUACCAACCACCCUCCAACUUCUCAUUACAUCAUCUACAGCUACUGUUAUUGUCAUAUUGUCAUUAUCUGCCAAGAAAGUUUUCAUUCUCUAUCACACUGGGCACAUAAUAUGUGAGAAACACAGAUUAACUAGCAUUGCAAAUACUCAGAACAAAGAGAGUAACAGUGCCUGGACUUUGCCUCAUCAAGUCCCCCUUCUGAGACUGGCUGCCUGUUGAGAACAAGUGACAGGCAGAACAUCCCACCCACCCACACAGCAACCACCUCCUCAAAAUUCCACACACCAGAAUUCGGUAUUUUAGUGUACACAUUUUUUGUGUGUGUGAAAAUAAGUUAAUGACACAAAAAAAGAUCAACGUUUAUGUAUUAAAAUCUGGAAAAAAAUGGACAGGUUUGUUUUCACAGGUGUUUGACUGGGUGUUCAUUAUUGUAAGUUGUAAGGUAUUCUUUGAUGGUAUUUAUUUGUUCCACGUUAUUCAUUGUUGUAUCCUUGGACCUACACUAGAUACCUAUAUAUUCAUCCACAAGGGUGUACUAAUGAGCUAUGUGAGAUAGAAAAAAUUAACCAUAAUAGAUGAAAAUUAACCACCACUGAAAUAUUAUUUCAGUGUAGAUAAGGGAAGAGCCCCCAUUGAUUUUGUUAGUCACUCUCACUCAAAUAUCAUAUUAAAAUGGUAUAAAAAGUCAUGGCAAAAUGACAAACAAUUGUUCUGUAAAGCAAACGUAUGUGUUUAUCUUUUGUUAAUAAAAUACUUUUUCUGCAAACAGAUGUAUAAAAUUAGAGUUUUUAUUAUAGUCCUGGUGCUGACUUCAUGUUAGUUAAUGUGUAGAGGCUAAUUGUAUAGUCUAUGUGUUUGUAGAUCGACUGAGGUGAAUGAAGCUACAGCAACCAAUGUGACUGUGGCUGGGGUUAUUUUUGCUUGUAUUUGCUCUUCCCCAAAUAGCAUUUUAGAAUUGUUUUAUUACAGAAAAUGAGCUUCAACUUUCUUAAAAAAAAAAGUACAUGCAGGGCCAUAGCUACGUAUAAGGACACCGAUGUCGGGACCUAUGAAAUGUUUUCGUAUU
rnacentral:lncRNA from 13 species